CCUCCCUGGCAGUGGAUGAGGCCGAGUUACUGAGUUCCGGCCAACAGAAUGGGAGUGGAAGUGAGUGUGCAAAUCCCAGGAGGGCAGGGCAGAAACAUGGCCCCUUGCCUGCUUCUCCCAGCUGGCCCAGUCCUGUGGAGCCAAGGGGCAUUGGAGGAGCAACAAGAGCGAAGGAGGCUGGGUGCCCUGUACUCAGUCUGCUGUGCCAGCCCAGGCUGCUCCCUCUGAGACCAUCUAAGCAGAGGAAAAUAAACUGCUAUGUUGUUUAAGCCACAAAGUUUGGGGAUUUCUUUGUUAUAGUAGCCUAACUCAUACUCUACCUAGUACAGUGAUCAGUAAAUGGUACUUCCUUUCUCUCUGUGUGCCUUAGGGGCAGGCGGGUGGGUGGCACCAUUAUGGUUGGAGUUCCUGCUCUGCAGCCUUCCAGCUUCCACCUCUAUUCCUCACCAUGGUGAGUCCAGGGCCCAUCUCCACCUGCUUUCAGACAACAAUCCUCCCUGUCCCUCUGACGUACCUCUUAUCUAGGGCUGAACUGCUUGUUUAUGGAUGAAGAAAGCCCACGUUAACAAGGCUGGAAAUCAAUGCCUUGCUUCCCUAGAGUGUGUUUGCCCACAGAGGGUACGUCCGGUCAGGGGCAAAGGACAGAGGUCACUAGGCCCAGCCUCCUCCUCAGGACCAUGGCCAGUCAGGAUAGGACGUCCAUCCUCCUAUCAGCUGUACUGUGUGCUGGGCGGCUGGUGAGAACAACGGCCUCUGCCCUCUGAGAUGCACGACUUCACACAGACCCCCACAUUCAGACAUCUCUCUGCUGGGAGCCCAUGGGUGCCCUACCCCCAGCCUCCAGAUCUCCAAGGUUUUCACCGAGAAACACUUGACCCGACUUGCA
rnacentral:lncRNA from 1 species